CAUCCGGCCCCCCGGGCCUUAUGUUGCCCAUACCUGUACUAGAUCUGCUCCUGACUGCCAAUCUUCUAACAAUCCUUCCUACGACCUUCAUAGGUGGAAGUGAUUAAGAAGGCCUACCAGCAGGACAGCGAGUGUGAAGGCGCAGAGGUUUCUCCACGAGAUGUUGGCCACAACAUCUACAUCCUGGCUCAGCAGUUGGCCCGACACAACAAAGGCCUGCAGAAUAUCCUGAAACCACCGAAGAAGAGCAAAGAAGGAGAAGAGGGAAUCUCCUCCAUGGUAAAC